GCACAGGAUGGCUCUCAAACUCAGGAUGGCUCUCAAACUCAGUGGCUGGGGAGCUCUGGAGUCACCGCCACUCCCAAUCACACCAAAAUCCUCAUCAUCAUCCAGCUGUUUGAAUUUCCGAACACCUCGGCCUUCCAGUGUUAAAUGUGAUUACUCCUGCUUUGAAGUUAGGGAUGUUAGCUAUCGACCACCAGGGACCGAGAUGAGCCUUCUAAAGUCUGUUAAUUUUACACUUCCUGAAAAAAGUUUUGGUUUAAUAUUUGGACGGAGUGGAAGUGGUAAAACUACUUUGUUGCAGCUUCUUGCAGGGCUGAGUAAACCAACUUCAGGUUCCAUUCAUAUUCAAAGAUAUGGGAAUGAUGGCAAUCCAAAUCAAUCUCCUAAACCGUUAACCCCGGAGAGAGUUGGCAUUGUCUUUCAGUUUCCUGAAAGGUACUUCAUGGCAGAUAACGUGCUGGAGGAAGUUACAUUUGGGUGGCCAAGGCAAAGGGGUGACCUCCAAUUCAAGGAGCAUCUUGCUUUGAGACUCCAAAGAGCAAUUAAUUGGGUUGGUUUAAAUGGUAUAUCCUUGGAUAAAGAUCCUCAUACUCUUAGUGGUGGUUAUAAACGCCGGCUUGCCUUGGCAAUUCAACUCGUACAAAUCCCAGAUUUAUUGAUACUGGAUGAGCCCCUUGCUGGUCUUGAUUGGAAGGCACGGGCAGAUGUUGUGAAGCUUUUGAAGCAUCUAAAGAAAGAAUUAACUAUACUAGCUGUCAGCCAUGACCUCAAAGAGUUAGCAACUCUAGUUGAUCGAUCCUGGAGCAUGAAAAUGGGUGGAAUUCUUAAGGAAGAGCCACUACCACUUUAAGUUUGGAAAUAUGCUUUUGCCUUCAUCAACUUGUGAUGUUGUGAGUUCAAUUGAAGAGCCAAAUAGAUAUCCUUGCAGUGGACAUACCAAAAUUUUCUCAUAAUCUUCAUUUUCAGCCACAUCCAUUGGCUUGCCACUGAGUGUAAUGGUGCUAGCAAUACUGUUCCGUCCGGAUGAUUCAUCGCACCAUUCUUUAGUUUCAGCCUCAAGGAACUUCUCCAGCUCAUAGUUGAUGAGCUUCAAGUCAUUCUCUGUUACCUCUGUUUUGCUCUCAUUUAAGCUCUCCAGAGGCAUGGCAAAUGUUGGUGUAGCUGGCUCACUCAUGAUUGGUUCCAGACCAAGGGUUCCAAUGGUGAGAAAGCCAUUGAAGAGCUCAGAGAUUACAGUAGAUGUUUCUUCUUCUAAGUUUUCUUCCUCUUUCUUGGCAUCAGAGUCAGAAAAAGAUUUUCCAGAUUCCUGUUUGGGUUGCUUUAAGGAUCUGGAUUUGUAUGUGGAGCCAAAGCUUGGCUUCGUGUAGAAGUCUUGGUCAUCAAUUGAUGGCUGUGCAGUAAGGCAAAUGCAAGGGUUUCCUGAAAUUAUAGUUCCAAAAAAGAGUUAGGAUAUCCAUGAAAAUAAUUAGGGAAGAAAGACUUGUCUAUGAGAAAGACAUAUCAGUAUUCCUUUUUGUUUCUUUUUUCUUUUGUGCUUUGGAAAGGGGAAUGUGGAUCAAUUUAAUGGCUGCUCCAUUCUGGACAUGUAUGCCUGUUAGAGUUAAGGGUUGAGUGCUUUCUUCACUGAAUGAUGUGGACUGUAGAACAAGGUGGUCCCAUCACUUACUGCUGAGAACCUUAAUCAGGUGGCCCUGUGUCCACAAAAGGUUGGUGGUAUCACCCAACUUCAUUGCUACAGUGCUAUAAUAACUGAAAAUGUUUGUGUUCUGAUUGUUUGAGACCACCUAUCUCAAAGGCCACCAGAUUUUUUUAACUUAUACUUGUUUUCGCUGUGAUUAUCUUUUUAGAUUGUGAAGAAUUCUGUAAGACAUUGAGUAGCAGAAGCAAUUAUCAUGGUUGUGUAUUAACCUGAUUACUCUGAUGAUUUAUGUAAUGAUGAUGUAUGCCUUCAGCAGGGAUUUUUUUUUUUUUUUUUUUUUUUUGAGGGGAGAAAAAAGUUGAUGAGGACAGUUUGAAUACCAAUUGUAAAAUCCUUGAAAGGCUCGAUGCUAUUAUGACGAAAUUUAUGGUGCAGCCAGUCCAGUAACUGCAGCAGUGGAAGGCAAAGAUUGAGUUAAAGGAUUGAAAACAUUAGUGUAAUUCCAAAUUUGGUGGAGUUCGGACUUACCUUCAUUUUGAUAUUUCUUUUGAGGGUUUGAUCUUAGAUCUCCAGGCUGUUCUAGUAGACAGAAAUAUAGGUAUACUUAGAUUCCAAGGAAGAUGGGACUUUAAAGGAAGGACUUAGAAUUGCUAAAGAGCAAAAGAACGAGGAUCAGUUCAUUAAGACUGUUAAGAAGUUGGAAUUCUGCUAGAAGGCCCUGAGAUAGAUGUGGGUAGAGAGAAACAUUUAGAAAGAUACAAGAUUGUGGUUGGCUGUUCAUUUCAAGAUCAAAUCAUGUGACAAACUGGAGUGGUUUUUGGAGACCCACAAGUUGGUGUGCUAUGUAUAUUGUGCAUACACAUUCAUACUUGGGAGUAGUUGCAUGGGCAUAUUAAUAAGAUAAUCAAUCACUUAGAUAUUAAAUUAGCAAUACAAGUGAAUCUUUCAUGUUGGUCACAUCUGAUAAAUGUGUGCUUUAAUAUGCAAAUAAUCACAUUCAAUGACCAAUGGUCAUAUUAGUUGAGAUGGAUUUAUAGACAUUUGAAUUUGUACACACAUCUAACUUAUUUAUCUAACAAGCAUUUUGGUUAGUAAGCCUAAUGUGACUGAUGGGCAGUUUUUCCUAUAUGUAUAGAUUUUCGAAUAUUGCUUGCUGAAAAGAUGAUUAAAUUUUGAAAACAUUUUACUCAUUAUGGUCCUUGAAUUCACCGGAUGAGUUAUCAAAAGUUUUUGGUGUGGCAUGCUUUGGGAAAGAUAGUCCUUACUGAAAAGAUUAUGGUGUGCACUCGUUCUAUUGUGAUUGCCUCAGUUGGUUAAACUGGCCAUUGCUAAGUAUUUGCUUUAGCUGUUGUAGUAGACAUCUCAUAUUUGCCUCAGGACUAGAGCUGUAACAGGAUCCUGUUGCUACUUUGCAUUACUAAAAUCAGAAGAUUCACCCAGACAGGACUGCCUGCAAUGAAAUCUCAGCAUACCCCACAAACAUCUUUUGAUGUUAAGAGUGAGCUGAGGAGGAGAAAGCAGUGGUAGGCUUGGAGGCAAAAGCCACAGCCAUCUUUAAUCCUAGAGACCCUUAUCUACAAUUUUGUUACAAGAAAUGCUAGGGACACAACAUUUUCAUAACAAAUCCUAAAUGAAGACCAACAACAGAUUUGUUGUGAAAUUGUGAAAAUGUAGUGGAUGUUGCACUUCUCUUUUAUUACUAUGAAAUACCAUUAUUGUAGCACUGCAGAGAAAGCAUGGAGGCUUGGGCAAAAUGUGUAGUUGUGUAUAAUUUCAUCCACUUUGUAACCCUGUAUUUUAUCUUCUAAUCUAACUAUGGAACCCCUAUGGAAAUUUUUAUUUGGGUUC